CCGCACUGAUAAGUGACUGGACUUCCUCUGCUGUGGUCUUCCAAUCUCAUUCCAGUGCCAGAUUAACCUCAGUUUGCAGAAGGGUUGAGCUACAUAAUGGCUUCCCCCUUUCGAAGGCUGAGAACAUUU